rnacentral:rRNA from 1 species
GAGUUUGAUCAUGGCUCAGGACGAACGCUGGCGGCGUGCUUAACACAUGCAAGUCGAGCGGAAAGGCCCUUCGGGGUACUCGAGCGGCGAACGGGUGAGUAACACGUGAGUAACCUGCCCUAGGCUUUGGGAUAACCCUCGGAAACGGGGGCUAAUACCGGAUAUGACUUCUGGUCGCAUGACUGGUGGUGGAAAGUUUUUCGGCCUGGGAUGGACUCGCGGCCUAUCAGCUUGUUGGUGGGGUAAUGGCCUACCAAGGCGACGACGGGUAGCCGGCCUGAGAGGGCGACCGGCCACACUGGGACUGAGACACGGCCCAGACUCCUACGGGAGGCAGCAGUGGGGAAUAUUGCACAAUGGGCGGAAGCCUGAUGCAGCGACGCCGCGUGAGGGAUGACGGCC